CGACCGGCGCACGGGUGAGUAACGCGUAUCCAACCUGCCCACCACUUGGGGAUAACCUUGCGAAAGUAAGACUAAUACCCAAUGAUAUCUCUAGAAGACAUCUGAAAGAGAUUAAAGAUUUAUCGGUGAUGGAUGGGGAUGCGUCUGAUUAGCUUGUUGGCGGGGUAACGGCCCACCAAGGCAACGAUCAGUAGGGGUUCUGAGAGGAAGGCCCCCCACAUUGGAACUGAGACACGGUCCAA
rnacentral:rRNA from 1 species